GUUCAUUGUCAUGAAGAAAUACAAGAUCAAUUCCAUCCUUUAGCAAUACUGAACACUCACAGACAACCUUUUUUUUUAUUAUUAUUAUUGUUUUAUCAUAACAAUUUUGGUUUGUAAUUUAUUUUACGUAUGUACUAUUUAACAUCAUAUGCUUUUCCCUCUUAUUUAUGACUUUAAUUUGAAUUGCAGAAAUGCUGUUCAUGCAACUCUGCGUACUGUACGUAUAUGUGACUCUCAAACAGUUUUCAGCUUCCAGGUUUAAAUGUUCUCAGCAUGCUUUCUUACUAUCAAAACUGUUUUAGCUGUUUCCCUGCAGUUUUUCCGUUUGGUAGAUUUGAUAAAGUUCUUGUUUUAUGUCAAAAGAAUGUUCUUGUGUUAAAAAAAUGAGAGCUUCUGUUCAUUUGGCCAAUCUUUAUAGAUGUGAGUUGUUAAAAUGACUACUACUGUAUGUAUCAUAAAGAUAUAAGCUGUUUUGUUUACAAAAAUGAAUAUAAGUGCUAUUCAUUUUCUCUCUACCUCAUUUGUUCUUAUUAAUCUGCUUCUGGAGCAUUUUGAAGCACUGAUGUUUAAGUUUGUUCAGAGAAUAAAAGAGUCCAAACGGAUUUUGAGGGUGGAGUGUGAUGUGAGGGUUUUACUGUAUGCAAGAACUGUUUGUUUGAACAGAAAAUAGUGGCUUUUACGACACAGGAAAGGGAAAAAGGAAACAGCUCAAACACGGUGACGCCUAAAGUCCUUGAACUCGGUGUACUGAGCACGCGAGUUCACAGAAUACAGCAGUCCUGCAGAGACACAAACAUGUUUACUGUGGGAGCUUCGCUCUAGUGCUUUUAUGCGACAGGAGUUUCUGGAUACAGUCGUCUCUUCGGGAAGUUAUGAGAGGUGUGUUAUCUAAAGCGUCCAGCGAUCUCACUCAUAAAGUGAAAGUGUCUGAACUUUGGUCACAUAGUGUAUGAGGAAUCUCAGUCUUGCAGCUGUUUUUUUUCUAGCUGACAUGGAGCUAAGACUACAGCGAUUCAUCAGGACCGUCCUGCUUCUGCACAUCUGCUGGCUCUGGAGCGGCCAGUGUUUGUCCGUCCACUUCACAAACCAGCAGUUGCUGUAUGUAAUCAGAGGCCAGACUCUGAUCCUACAUGCACAAAUCGAGCUGCUGGAUGGUGAACAUGUUAAUAAAGUGACGUGGGACCACGUUGCAAAGACUUCUGGGAUGAGUUCAACAUUGGCUGAGUUUCCUCCUAAAGCAUCAGAUGGGAGAGUCACACUGGAACAGCAGGGAGCCACACUGAAGGUCCCAGAUUUUCAGGCAGCAGACGCCGGGGUCUACACGGUCACAGUUACAGACCAGUCAGGACAGAGACAAUCUGCACAGCAAACCGUUCAAGAGUAUCUGGCGGUGCAUCACGUGUCGGUGAUGGUGAAUGUGUCUCACUGGGUUCUUCACUGUAUGGAGGCCUGGGGAACUGAGCCCAUCUUCACUUGGCUGCAUGAGAAAGUGAUUGUAACGGAGAAAGUGGGUCAUGUUUCGGCAGAUGGGACGUCUCUGCACGUCUCCGGCGGCAGCUUCUGCGGACACUUCACCUGUGUGGUGAGCAACAAACUGGGACACAGCUCAGCCACAUACACCGCAGAGGCGUGUGAAAGCACAAACCGGAGCAUGACUGCUGUCGUUGUGUUUCUGCUGCUGAUACUGAUGCUCGCAGCUGCAUCGCUGGCCUUUAUACUGUGGAGGAGACACAGGCGUGGAUAUAACAGAAGAGAGAGACUGAGAGAGCCAUGUGAAGAGACUCUGUGAGCUGAUCUCAGGACAGUUUUACUGCGUUACUGUGACACUGACGAGAGCUGAUGGACUGCCAGUCGCUUGACGCUUUCAGCACGCCUUUUUAUACUUCAUUGAUCAAUGUAUUAUAGAUUUUUGGUUCCUUCCUGGAAAGAUAUUUAUGCAUAUUUAUUUAACCAAGUCAGACUAACAUCAUCAGGAGGUGUAGUUAAUGCAAUCCUUUCUGAAAUACUUGAUUCUGAUUGGUCAGUUAUGACAUUCUGUCAUUAAUAUGAUGACCACUACACUAUUAAUUGACAACUGUCUCAUAUCAAUAAAUUAACAUUUUACUAAUUGAGUAAUUUUUUU
ensembl:lncRNA